rnacentral:tRNA from 1 species
UCCCUGGUGGCCUAGUGGUUAAGAUUCAGCAUUGUCACUGCUGUGGCUCAAGUUUGACUCUUGGCCUGGGAA